rnacentral:tRNA from 1 species
GGGUCGGUAGCUCAGCCGGUAGAGCAGCUCCCUUUUAAGGAGAAGGUCGUGGGUUCGAUCCCCACCCGACCCACAA